GAUGAACGCUGGCGGCGUGCUUAACACAUGCAAGUCGAACGAGAAGUGGAGACGGAAACCUUCGGGCGGAAGACUUUAUUUCGAGUGGCGGACGGGUGAGUAACGCGUGGGUAACCUGCCUCCUACAGGGGGAUAACAGUUGGAAACGACUGUUAAUACCGCAUAAGACCACAGCACCGCAUGGUGCGGGGGUAAAAACUCCGGUGGUAUGAGAUGGACCCGCGUUCGAUUAGCCAGUUGGCGGGGUAACGGCCCACCAAAGCGACGAUCGAUAGCCGAUCUGAGAGGAUGACCGGCCACAUUGGGACUGAGACACGGCCCAAACUCCUACGGGAGGCAGCAGUGGGGAAUAUUGCACAAUGGGGGAAACCCUGAUGCAGCGACGCCGCGUGAGUGAAGAAGUAUUUCGGUAUGUAAAGCUCUAUCAGCAGGGAAGAAAAUGACGGUACCUGAGUAAGAAGCCCCGGCUAACUACGUG
rnacentral:rRNA from 1 species